rnacentral:lncRNA from 1 species
GCUAAGAUGGCCGCCCCGGCUCGGGCUGGUGAGUGUGCGCGAGGGCGCGCGGCCGCGGCGAUUGGCGGAGUGAGGACCCCUGCGGGAGCGGACGUGCGACGGCAGCCCCCGGGGCCGGGAGGCACCUGGGGGCCUAUUCUCGCCGCGCAGGGCGCUGGGGGGUCCUGAGAGAGGGAGAGCCUGGGGCUGCGGGCGCGCGGAAGGGAAUGAGCCGAGGGGCGCGCGGCGGCGACGCGUCCGGCGAAUUUUGAAUUGCCCCCCUGGGAAGUUUCGUUUUCAGAUGCUUCAAGUGUUGUGAACAGAGACUUGUUUGGAUUAUGCAUUUCUCAGCUAGACUAAAUAAAUGCUAGCAAUGGAUACGUGCAAACAUGUUGGGCAGCUGCAGCUUGCUCAAGACCAUUCCAGCCUCAACCCUCAGAAAUGGCACUGUGUGGACUGCAACACGACCGAGUCCAUUUGGGCUUGCCUUAGCUGCUCCCAUGUUGCCUGUGGAAGAUAUAUUGAAGAGCAUGCACUCAAGCACUUUCAAGAAAGCAGUCAUCCUGUUGCAUUGGAGGUGAAUGAGAUGUACGUUUUUUGUUACCUUUGUGAUGAUUAUGUUCUGAAUGAUAACACAACUGGAGACCUGAAGUUACUACGACGUACAUUAAGUGCCAUCAAAAGUCAAAAUUAUCACU